UAAAAGAUGGAGAUGUGCUGAACAGGACCUCCAGUAUAGGAUGUCAUGGAAGGAAGAAGUUCUUGAAGUGUGAACUAAGAUUUUGAGGACAAUAUUUAUGAGAGAGUAAUCGAGGGCCGGAGGGCGUCCACAGUGUUGACAGUCAUGUAUUGAGACAGCCAUUUGCUAGGAAUACUUCAUCAGAGAGAUGUGCCAUGACUGGAUGUCAGAUCCCAGCUCCAACCUCGUCAUUGGAAGGGGCGGAUUGAGGCCGUCUUCUGGGUCUUCUGGAAGACAGUCAGAAUUUUUCAAGUUUGCAUUGAUGGGUGUCUGAUUAUUUUGUCGGAAGAUGGUCAAAAAUGGAGGAUGGAUCAACAAAGACAAUUUGGAAGACUGUCAGAAAAUUUCUCUGGGUCGCCCCUGUAAAAGAUAACCAAGUUUAUUUCAUGGAAUUUUACUUAUUUUUUUAUAUAUUUAUUCAGCUCCCACCUGGUAACAGUAGCCUGUGUUUUAUGACUUCCUGACACUUUAUCCUCUUUGUUUGAAUUGAUGUGUUAAUGCUUACAUCAAAAAACCAUCAUAUGUACCUGCCUUUAUCAUUUGUCAAAAAUGAAAUUAAAAAAUUCUGAUUGUCAUUUUUAUCUGAAUUAAUUUGUUUAAUAUUAUAACAAGAUCAAAUAUUAACCAAGUAGUUCAUUAGAUAGUUUAUUUAUCAUAUCAAACUUAAGCAAGUUUUAAUGCAGAUAUCAUUAUUUUUGUUUUACAUUUCUGAAUAUUCAAAACUUGCGAUUAAAAUAUUUUAAAAAAUGUUUAACGAGUGGAUGUUUUAAAACAUGAGAAAACAUCAGCAGUUUAUUUUGCUCCAAAUAAAAUUUUAC